GCCCCUGUAGUUCACCGGAUUAGAAUGCGAGGUUCCGGACCUUGCGAACGGGGUUCAAUUCCCCGCAGGGGCA
rfam:Archaeon GW2011_AR11 QT04_C0021, whole genome shotgun sequence.